CUUCCUAACUCUCUCUCUCUCUCUCUUUUUCUUUUCUAAAUUUUCGCCACACAAGGUGCAGCCUCGAGUUUCUUCACGAUCGGGAAUUCAAACAACAUCCGAUUGUCACGAAAUUUUAACCAAAGGUAGAAGACUCAUAAAGGAUCAUUCUUACCGAAGGAGGUCAAAUUUUAACGGUUAGAUUUUCAAGAAAUAACUUCGGAAGUGGCUGUCGGUUUCUACAGUAGCAGCGUCGAUUUUCUAUACGAUCAGGGGUUCAAACGUAGUCCGAUCGUUCUAAAAUUUUAAAGGAAGGAAGUUGGGGUUUCCUGAAGAUAGAAUACUAGCUUUGCGAAGAAGCUUUAGCUCAUUUUUGUAACAUCAUAAAUUAAUACAUUUCUCAUUUGAAGAGAAAUGACUAUAUUCUGUAAAUUUAAUAUCCCUCUGCUUUAUAAAUGUACAUGGACAAUUAUUUUAUCGUUUCA